rnacentral:rRNA from 1 species
UGGCUACAGAACGAACGCUGGCGGCGCGCUUAAGCAUGCAAGUCGAACGGCAAGAGGUAGCAAUACCUCCUAGAGUGGCGGACUGGUGAGUAACACGUGGGUGACAUACCCUUCAGAUGGGGAUAGCUAUUAGAAAUAGUAGAUAAUACCGAAUACGAGCACAGGGGUUAGAGAUCUGUGAGGAAAGGAGCUAAGGCUCCGCUGAAGGAAUGGCCUGCGGCCCAUUAGCUAGUUGGUGAGGUAAGAGCCCACCAAGGCGAUGAUGGGUAUCCGGCCUUAGAGGGUGAACGGACACAUUGGGACUGAGAUACGGCCCAGACUCCUACGGGAGGCAGCAGCUAAGAAUAUUCCGCAAUGGACGAAAGUCUGACGGAGCGACGCCGCGUGGAUGAAGAAGGCCGGAAGGUUGUAAAAUCCUUUUGAAACUGAAGAAUAAGCGUUGUAGGGAAUGACAGCGUGGUGACAGUUAGGUUUUGAAUAAGCAACGGCUAAUUACGUGCCAGCCGCCGC